rnacentral:rRNA from 1 species
GAUGAACGCUAGCGGCAGGCUUAAUACAUGCAAGUCGAGGGGCAGCGCAGUGUAGCAAUACAUGGGCGGCGACCGGCAAACGGGUACGGAACACGUACAGAACCUUCCUUUAAGCGGGGAAUAGCCCAGAGAAAUUUGGAUUAAUACCCCAUAGUAUAUUGAGUAGGCAUCUAUUUAAUAUUAAAGAUUUAUCACUUAAA